rnacentral:rRNA from 1 species
CCCCUAGAUGUCCUGGGCCGCACGCGCGCUACACUGACCCACUCAGCAAGUCAUUCCUGGCCUGGAAAGGUUCGGGUAAUCUUCGCAAUAUGGGUCGUGUUAGGGAUCGAUCUUUGCAAUUAUAGAUCUUGAACGAGGAAUACCUAGUAAGUGCAAGUCAUCAGCUUGUACUGAUUACGUCCCUGCCCUUUGUACACACCGCCCGUCGCUCCUACCGAUUUCGAAUGGUCCGGUGAACCUUCUGGAGUGCUCGCAAGAGCGCGAAGUUAAGUAAACCUUAUCAUUUAGAGGAAGGAGAANUCGUAACA